GUAACACGUUGGAACCUGCCCCAAAGUGAGGAAUAAGCCACCGAAAGGUGGUCUAAUACUUCAUAAUAUCCAUCUCGUAUGGAUUAAAGCUUUAUGCGCUUUGGGAGGGGCCUGCGUAACAUUAGCUUGUUGGUGAGGUAAAAGCUCACCAAGGCUUCGAUGUUUAACUGGUUUGAGAGGAUGACCAGUCACACUGGGACUGAGAUACGGCCCAGACUCCUACGGGAGGCAGCAGUAAGGAAUCUUCCACAAUGGGGGCAACCCUGAUGGAGCAAUACCGCGUGCAGGAUGAAGCGUUUCGGCGUGUAAACUGCUUUUAUCACCGAAGAUUAUGACUGUAGGUGAAGAAUAAGGACCGGCUAACUACGUG
rnacentral:rRNA from 1 species